AGAGUUUGAUCAUGGCUCAGAUUGAACGCUGGCGGCAGGCCUAACACAUGCAAGUCGAGCGGAAACGAUCCUAGCUUGCUAGGAGGCGUCGAGCGGCGGACGGGUGAGUAACACGUGAGAAUCUGCCCAUUAGUGGGGGAUAACCUGGGGAAACCCAGGCUAAUACCGCAUAAUCUCUACGGAGGAAAGCAGGGGAUCUUCGGACCUUGUGCUGAUGGAUGAGCUCGCGUCGGAUUAGCUUGUUGGUGAGGUAAUGGCUCACCAAGGCGACGAUCCGUAGCUGGUCUUAGAGGAUGAUCAGCCACACCGGGACUGAGACACGGCCCGGACUCCUACGGGAGGCAGCAGUGGGGAAUCUUGGACAAUGGGGGCAACCCUGAUCCAGCCAUGCCGCGUGUGUGAAGAAGGCCUUCGGGUUGUAAAGCACUUUCAGUAGGGAGGAAGGCUUAUCCUUAAUACGGAUGAGUACUUGACGUUACCUACAGAAGAAGCACCGGCUAAUUUCGUGCCAGCAGCCGCGGUAAUACGAAAGGUGCGAGCGUUAAUCGGAAUUACUGGGCGUAAAGCGCGCGUAGGCGGUUUGCUAAGUCAGAUGUGAAAGCCCCGGGCUCAACCUGGGAACUGCAUUUGAAACUGGCAGGCUAGAAUGC
rnacentral:rRNA from 1 species